AUUGAACGCUGGCGGCAGGCUUAACACAUGCAAGUCGAGCGGCAGCGGGAAAGUAGCUUGCUACUUUUGCCGGCGAGCGGCGGACGGGUGAGUAAUGCCUGGGAAAUUGCCCAGUCGAGGGGGAUAACAGUUGGAAACGGCUGCUAAUACCGCAUACGCCCUACGGGGGAAAGCAGGGGACCUUCGGGCCUUGCGCGAUUGGAUAUGCCCAGGUGGGAUUAGCUAGUUGGUGGGGUAAUGGCUCACCAAGGCGACGAUCCCUAGCUGGUCUGGGAGGAUGAUCAGCCACACUGGAACUGAGACACGGUCCAGACUCCUACGGGAGGCAGCAGUGGGGAAUAUUGCACAAUGGGGGAAACCCUGAUGCAGCCAUGCCGCGUGUGUGAAGAAGGCCUUCGGGUUGUAAAGCACUUUCAGCGAGGAGGAAAGGUUGGUAGCUAAUAACUGCCAGCUGUGACGUUACUCGCAGAAGAAGCACCGGCUAACUCCGUGC
rnacentral:rRNA from 1 species